rnacentral:rRNA from 1 species
CAAUAGCGUAUAUUAAAGUUGUUGCAGUUAAAAAGCUCGUAGUUGAACUUCAGACCUGGCCGGGCGGUCUGCCUAACGGUAUGUACUGUCUGGCUGGGUCUUACCUCUUGGUGAGCCGGCAUGCCCUUCACUGGGUGUGUCGGGGAACCAGGACUUUUACCUUGAGAAAAUUAGAGUGUUCAAAGCAGGCCUAUGCCCGAAUACAUUAGCAUGGAAUAAUAAAAUAGGACGUGCGGUUCUAUUUUGUUGGUUUCUAGAGUCGCCGUAAUGAUUAAUAGGGAUAGUUGGGGGCAUUAGUAUUCAGUUGCUAGAGGUGAAAUUCUUGGAUUUACUGAAGACUAACUACUGCGAAAGCAUUUGCCAAGGAUGUUUUCAUUA